rnacentral:rRNA from 1 species
GCCCACGCCCCGGCAUUGGGUUUGAGGGAAAAGGAGCAAUCCGCUUGGAGAUGGCCUCGCGUCCGAUUAGCUGGUUGGUGAGGUAACGGCCCACCAAGGCGACGAUCGGUAGCCGGACUGAGAGGUUGAACGGCCACAUUGGGACUGAGACACGGCCCAGACUCCUACGGGAGGCAGCAGUGGGGAAUAUUGCACAAUGGGGGGAACCCUGAUGCAGCGACGCCGCGUGGAGGAAGAAGGUCUUCGGAUUGUAAACUCCUGUUGUUGAGGAAGAUAAUGACGGUACUCAACAAGGAAGUGACGGCUAACUACGUGCCAGCAGCCGCGGUAAAACGUAGGUCACAAGCGUUGUCCGGAAUUACUGGGUGUAAAGGGAGCGCAGGCGGGAAGACAAGUUGGAAGUGAAAUCUAUGGGCUCAACCCAUAAACUGCUUUCAAAACUGUUUUUCUUGAGUAGUGCAGAGGUAGGCGGAAUUCCCGGUGUAGCGGUGGAAUGCGUAGAUAUCGGGAGGAACACCAGUGGCGAAGGCGGCCUACUGGGCACCAACUGACGCUGAGGCUCGAAAGUGUGGGUAGCAAACAGGAUUAGAUACCCUGGUAGUCCACACCGUAAACGAUGAUUACUAGGUGUUGGAGGAUUGACCCCUUCAGUGCCGCAGUCAACACAAUAAGUAAUCCACCUGGGGAGUACGACCGCAAGGUUGAAACUCAAAGGAAUUGACGGGGGCCCGCACAAGCAGUGGAGUAUGUGGUUUAAUUCGACGCAACGCGAAGAACCUUACCAAGUCUUGACAUCCCUUGACGAACAUAGAAAUAUGUUUUCUCUUCGGAGCAAGGAGACAGGUGGUGCAUGGUUGUCGUCAGCUCGUGUCGUGAGAUGUUGGGUUAAGUCCCGCAACGAGCGCAACCCUUACUGUCAGUUACUACGCAAGAGGACUCUGGCAGGACUGCCGUUGACAAAACGGAGGAAGGUGGGGAUGACGUCAAAUCAUCAUGCCCUUUAUGACUUGGGCUACACACGUACUACAAUGGCGUUAAACAAAGAGAAGCAAGACCGCGAGGUGGAGCAAAACUCAGAAACAACGUCCCAGUUCGGACUGCAGGCUGCAACUCGCCUGCACGAAGUCGGAAUUGCUAGUAAUCGUGGAUCAGCAUGCCACGGUGAAUACGUUCCCGGGCCUUGCACACACCGCCCGUA